GAUGAACGCUGGCGGCGUGCCUAAUACAUGCAAGUCGAGCGAACAGACGAGGAGCUCGCUCCUCUGACGUUAGCGGCGGACGGGUGAGUAACACGUGGAUAACCUACCUAUAAGACUGGGAUAACUUCGGGAAACCGGAGCUAAUACCGGAUAAUAUAUUGAACCGCAUGGUUCAAUAGUGAAAUACGGUUUUUGUGUCACUUAUAGAUGGAUCCGCGCCGCAUUAGCUAGUUGGUAAGGUAACGGCUUACCAAGGCAACGAUGCGUAGCCGACCUGAGAGGGUGAUCGGCCACACUGGAACUGAGACGCGGUCCAGACUCCUACGGGAGGCAGCAGUAGGGAAUCUUCCGCAAUGGGCGAAAGCCUUACGGAGCAACGCCGCGUGAGUGAUGAAGGUCUUCGGAUCGUAAAACUCUGUUAUUAGGGAAGAACAAAUGUGUAAGUAACUAUGCACGUCUUGACGGUACCUAAUCAGAAAGCCACGGCUAACUACGUG
rnacentral:rRNA from 1 species